AGUUCCAUAGGCAAGUCUGGUUGAAGCCGUCAGCCCCUCAAGCUGAAGUCGCUGGUUCAAAUCCGGCUGGGACUU
rnacentral:tRNA from 1 species